rnacentral:rRNA from 1 species
CUCCCUGAUGUUAGCGGCGGACGGGUGAGUAACACGUGGGUAACCUGCCUGUUUCNCUGGGAUAACUCCGGGAAACCGGGGCUAAUACCGGAUGCUUGUUUGAACCGCAUNGUUCAAACAUAAAAGGUGGCUUCGGCUACCACUUACAGAUGGACCCGCGGCGCAUUAGCUAGUUGGUGAGGUAAUGGCUCACCAAGGCAACGAUGCGUAGCCGACCUGAGAGGGUGAUCGGCCACACUGGGACUGAGACACGGCCCAGACUCCUACGGGAGGCAGCAGUAGGGAAUCUUCCGCAAUGGACGAAAGUCUGACGGAGCAACGCCGCGUGAGUGAUGAAGGUUUUCGGAUCGUAAAGCUCUGUUGUUAGGGAAGAACAAGUACCGUUCGAAUAGGGCGGUACCUUGACGGUACCUAACCAGAAAGCCACGGCUAACUACGUGCCAGCAGCCCGCGGUAAUACGUAGGUGGCAAGCGUUGUCCGGAAUUAUUGGGCGUAAAGGGCUCCCAGGCGGUUUCUUAAGUCUGAUGUGAAAGCCCCCGGCCACGGGGAAGGUCCUUGGAAACUGGGGAACUUGAGUGCA